CAAAGGCUUGGUCCUGACUUUACUAUCAGCUUUAACCAGAUUUACACAUGCAAGUCUCCGCACCCCUGUGAGGAUGCCCUUAAUCCCCCGGCCGGGGAUGAGGAGCCGGCAUCAGGCUCACCCCACAGCCCAAGACGCCUUGCUAAGCCACACCCCCAAGGGAACUCAGCAGUGAUAGACAUUAAGCCAUGAGCGGAAGCUCGACUUAGUUAAGGUUAAGAGGCCCGGUAAAACUCGUGCCAGCCACCGCGGUUAUACGAGAGGGCCAAGUAGAUAGACAUCGGCGUAAAGUGUGGUUAGGGAUUUGUCAGCUAAAGCCGAAUACCUCCAAGGCUGUUAUACGCACCCGGAGGUCUGAAGCCCCCUUACGAAAGUAGCUUUAUUACUAGACCUGAACCCACGACAGCCACGAGACAAACUGGGAUUAGAUACCCCACUAUGCGUGGCCGUAAAACUUGACAGCAAAGUACAAUUUCUGUCCGCCAGGGGACUACAAGCAUCAGCUUAAAACCCAAAGGACUUGGCGGUGCCUCAGACCCACCUAGAGGAGCCUGUUCUAGAACCGAUAACCCCCGUUUAACCUCACCUCCCCUUGUUAUCACCGCCUAUAUACCGCCGUCGUCAGCAUACCCUGUGAAGGGUUCAUAGUAUGCAAGGUGGGUAGAGCCCAAAACGUCAGGUCGAGGUGUAGCGUAUGAGGAGGGAAGAAAUGGGCUACAUUCCCUGUUUUAGGGAAAAACGGACGGGGGCGUGAAACGGCCCCCUGAAGGUGGAUUUAGCAGUAGACUGGAAGCAGAGAGUCCCGUCGAAACUGGCUCUGAGGCGCGCACACACCGCCCGUCACUCUCCCCAAGUCUAUUUUUUUGGUUCAUAAAAGCACUACUGGACAAAGGGGAGGCAAGUCGUAACAUGGUAAGUGUACCGGAAGGUGCACUUGGAAAAAC
rnacentral:ncRNA from 1 species